GACGAACGCUGGCGGCGUGCCUAAUACAUGCAAGUAGAACGCUGAAGACUUUAGCUUGCUAAAGUUGGAAGAGUUGCGAACGGGCGAGUAACGCGUAGGUAACCUGCCUACUAGCGGGGGAUAACUAUUGGAAACGAUAGCUAAUACCGCAUAACAGCAUUUAACCCAUGUUAGAUGCUUGAAAGGAGCAAUUGCUUCACUAGUAGAUUGACCUUCGUUGUAUUAGCUAGUUGGUGAGGUGACGGCUCACCAAGGCGACGAUACAUAGCCGACCUGAGAGGGUGAUCGGCCACACUGGGACUGAGACACGGCCCAGACUCCUACGGGAGGCAGCAGUAGGGAAUCUUCGGCAAUGGGGGCAACCCUGACCGAGCAACGCCGCGUGAGUGAAGAAGGUUUUCGGAUCGUAAAGCUCUGUUGUAAGAGAAGAACGUGUGUGAGAGUGGAAAGUUCACACAGUGACGGUAACUUACCAGAAAGGGACGGCUAACUACGUGCCAGCCGCCGCGGUAA
rnacentral:rRNA from 1 species